AGUGAACGCUGGCGGUAGGCCUAACACAUGCAAGUCGAACGGCAGCACAGUAAGAGCUUGCUCUUACGGGUGGCGAGUGGCGGACGGGUGAGGAAUACAUCGGAAUCUACUUUUUCGUGGGGGAUAACGUAGGGAAACUUACGCUAAUACCGCAUACGACCUACGGGUGAAAGCAGGGGAUCUUCGGACCUUGCGCGAUUGAAUGAGCCGAUGUCGGAUUAGCUAGUUGGCGGGGUAAAGGCCCACCAAGGCGACGAUCCGUAGCUGGUCUGAGAGGAUGAUCAGCCACACUGGAACUGAGACACGGUCCAGACUCCUACGGGAGGCAGCAGUGGGGAAUAUUGGACAAUGGUCGCAAGCCUGAUCCAGCCAUACCGCGUGGGUGAAGAAGGCCUUCGGUUUGUAAAGCCCUUUUGUUGGUAAAGAAAAGCAGCAGGUUAAUACCCCGCUGUUCUGACGGUACCCAAAGAAUAAGCACCGGCUAACUUCGUG
rnacentral:rRNA from 1 species